UUGGGCACCCAACACCCAACAGAGCAUCUACGAACGAACUUAUAGAGUACGCAACAACGUAACUGCAGACACUAUAUACCACGAUGGCUCCAAGGGCAAGCAGCAAAGGCUUGGUAGUUCUGUGCUUCGUCUCUCUCCUCCUUGUCUCAUCGUUUGCUGAUACAACAUCCCGAGCCCAAGAUACUGGGAGGAAGAUGAAGCGAGAAUUGGUGGCCGCGGACGAAGAAUACGCGCCAUUACCACCGUCAUACGGCGUCACGCCGCCCUUACCACCAUCGUACGGGCCGCCCUCGCAGACUGUACCAACAUACACGCCUACACAGCCGUGAAUCCACGUGCGAGUCUGGCACAGAUGAAUUACGUAUGCUAGUUUAUAUAUAUAUAUAUAAUAUAUAUAUAUAUAUAUAUGUAAGUGAAUAAAAUUACCACUGGCCGGGGUGUGGUGCACUGAUGCUUGUUUCGACACGUAGCCACAACGGACGCUCGUUUGGCACAGCUGGUCUGUCGACUGUAAUCAAAUUAUAAAGUGGCGUUGCUUUGCAGGCUCCAGCUGUACCAUCGACAUGUCAAAUCUUGAGUUGAAAGAUUAAAUAAAGUGCUUUAAUUUGGUUAAGCUA